AAACGGGAUAUGUAAGAGUUUGGAAAUUAAUUUUUUUUUCUAUUUCACAGUCAGUAAAAUUAGUUUAAAAUAUGUUUUUUGUGUACUUCGAUAAAUGUUGUAGCUACAAAAAAAAUAAUGUAUGGUUUUCCUGAACAGAUAUUCCGUAGUAUAUAUUAACAAUAAUGGUAUCCCGUUUUAUCCAACUCUCCCCUAUAUAUAAAUGGUAAUAUAAGGUGGUCCCCCCCAAUGACAAUGCAUAUGAUAUAUAAUAUGAAUUAUUAUGGAAGUUGUGUUAAUAAAAUGUUCUCAAUAACUUAAAUGAAACUUUCCCCAAAUUUUUAAAAGAUUUGGAUAGUUUUUGAUGUAAAAACCCAACCUUGGUAUUAUUCUAUAUUCCUAUUUGAAUAAUGCAUGCUUCAGAAAAGCAUGUCACUAAGAUUCUACACAAUAAAACAUUAGUAUGUCUGAUUAAUUGAAAGAUUUCCUUUGGUUUUUAUAUUUUACUAAUCACAUGAAUGUAAAAUGCAUUCAAUAAUAUUUACAUAAACUGAAUAAUUUCUAUAAAAAAAAAAUUGGAAGCAAAAUAUUGUGUAGAAAGUCAUAAAAAUUUCUUUUGAGGCCAUGAAUUUUUCUUUGGGGGAAGAGGGUGGACCUGAUAGACACCCUGUACAUUGAAAUAAUUUUCCUUUUUAAGUAAAUUAAUACUUAAUAAAUUAAAAGAGUUUUAAUGAUGUUAUAUUUUCAUUUUAAAAUUUUUCAAUAUUUAUUUAUCUAUAUUUAUUUUUAAAUUAUGUUUUAAUAUUCAUGGUAAAACCUUUUUUAUAUAGCAAUUAGCAGGCUAACAUCUUGUUCUGGCAUGCCUCUUGCACCAGUUACAAUCAAAAGAUCCUGCUAUUGUUCUAGAUGUCCUAGUUCCUAACAACUUACUAUAUGCUAAAUCUGAAUACGUUGCUAGCCCUAUGAAUUGCUUUUUCUCGCUUGUCGCAGAGUACUGAGUCUUUUCCCAUGAAAAUUGUGUUAUCUCUGUUAAAGGUGAAAAAUCCUGUUUGUGAACUGUGAAAAAUUUCACGUUCAUCUGGUUCAUUCAUCAUCUAUCCUACUUUCGUCUGCUCUGCUUUGGAUUUUAGAAUUUUAUGGAAAUUGGAAUUUCAUUUUCUAGAAUACGCUGGAUGCAUGGGACUUGUUUUUCUAAUACAA